rnacentral:lncRNA from 1 species
UGGUGUUGCCAGAACUUCGCCACACAGCCUGAUCAAUUUCUGCACUGGUCGAUGCACAUUUAUGUGGGGAAGAAGAGGUUGCCGUAUUCUUCCUAGAAGUUUUGUGUAAAAAGCCAAAACUUGCUGUUUCAUUCCUGGAGGACAAUCAGCUUUUCCUAGUGUGUAAAGUGUCUCCAAAAUCUUGUGAUGUAGCAAAUACUCCAUACACGGCCCCGUUUCACCCGAUUCCCUCUCAUUUUCUUCUUGAACUAGAAUAUCCAACAUCUGUUCCAGGUGAGAAGGAAUGUUGGUAUCAGUCACAGGUGCUUUGUCAUCUGAAGUCUCUAUGUAGUAAUGGGUUAUUGCCUUCCAGUGGUAAACAAAAUCUUCUUGUAAUGGAAGGGAAGGUGCAAGCGCCUCCACGGCGUGCUGCAGGAUGGAGGUGAACUUGGAGAACAUCCUGUCCCGCGACUGCAGCAGCCGCUGCCGGGAGGACCGCGAGAGCUCCUCGAUCCGCCGCCGCCGCUCCAGGGUGAGGGCUGCAUGCGGGGGCCUGGCCGCGGGGAUCGGGCGGGCGGACGGCCGCCGGCUUUGCCUCUCGCUCGGCGGCGGACACCGUGGCGCUGACACCGCCGGGCUGCGGCUGCCGAGGCUCCG